rfam:Picea glauca, whole genome shotgun sequence.
AAUGUAAUACCUACAAAUUCAAUGGAAAAAAUAUGAUUAGAAGUAUGUAUUUAAGCAUGCUUUGUCUAGAGUAGUACUAUGAUGGGUAACCUCCUAGGAAAUCCAAGUGUUUUACAUGC